GGAUGAACGCUAGCGGCAGGCCUAACACAUGCAAGUCGAGGGGUAGAAGUCUUCGGACUUUGAGACCGGCGCACGGGUGCGUAACGCGUAUGCAAUCUACCUUGUACAGAGGGAUAGCCCAGAGAAAUUUGGAUUAAUACCUCAUAGUAUAUUUGAAUGGCAUCAUUUAGAUAUUAAAGUUCCAACGGUACAAGAUGAGCAUGCGUCCCAUUAGUUAGUUGGUGUGGUAACGGCAUACCAAGACGAUGAUGGGUAGGGGUCCUGAGAGGGAGAUCCCCCACACUGGUACUGAGACACGGACCAGACUCCUACGGGAGGCAGCAGUGAGGAAUAUUGGUCAAUGGAGGCAACUCUGAACCAGCCAUGCCGCGUGCAGGAUGACGGUCCUAUGGAUUGUAAACUGCUUUUAUACGGGAAGAAAACGAGUUACGUGUAACUAACUGACGGUACCGUAAGAAUAAGGAUCGGCUAACUCC
rnacentral:rRNA from 1 species